rnacentral:rRNA from 2 species
AGAUUAAAUUAUAAAACUAGGAUUAGAUACCCUAUUAUAUUAAUUUUGAAAAAAAAAUUAAUUAUUAAAUGUAUAAUCAUUAAAAUUAUAAAAUAUGGCAGUUAUAUAAAAUUUUAGGGGAAUUUGUAUAUUAAUUUGAUAGUCCACAUUAUAAUAUACUAAUAAAAAGUUAAAAAUUAUUUUUGUAUUGUUGUUUAAAAAUUUUGUAUAAAUAUAAUAAUUAAAAUUUAUUUUUAAUAAAAAAAUUCAAAUCAAAAUAAAGUAUUUAUUAGAUAAUAUGAGUUACAUUAAUAAAUAAUUUAUUUAAGUUAAUAAAUUUUAAUAUUUUAAAUAAAUAGGAUUUAAAAGUAAAAUUAAUUAAAUAUAUUAAUUUGAAUAUUUUUUUAUAUAAUGUACAAAUUGCCCGUCAAUUUCAAUAAAAUUUGAAAUAAGUCGUAACAAAGUGAGGGUAUUGGAA